rnacentral:lncRNA from 1 species
GUCUCCGCGGAGCGUCACAAAGGUUGGAAGGGUCGCGGGGCCUCUGGGUGCCGAGCUGCAGAUGCCUCCACUGCGAGCACAGCCCUGAGACAAGGGCCCAGGCGCCCAGCGGGGCUGGUUUCACUCAGUCCAGCCGCACCUACCCGUGCCCUCACCAGAUCUUAAGAUACAGACAUUAAAACCUCCACCGGGCCGCGGCACAGGACAGCAGUUUUACUUUCUGUUUUUGGCAUUGCAUUGCCUCCAUUUCCUAGAGUGCACGUAAUAAAUACCGCUGGUGAUUCCAAAAUAUAAAGGUUGAAAAUAUUUACUUUACAAAAAUUUGGUUCCCAUACUGCUUUUAAGGCCAUCCUCUGCACUUGGUUCCCGCUGCUCCUGAUGUGGUUGAAAGAUGGAUGACCCCAAAGACGAGGAAAAGAUUAUUGGCUCCAUUUUUUAGAUGCGGCAGCCAGCUAAGGUCUAGACAGGGGAAGGGACUUGCCCCAAAUCACAGUUAGAGCAAAUCAGUCUGAAUCAGGAAUAACUCCAUUCCUAUCCCGCAUCCUGCCCUUUCACUACGCCACAGCUGCCUGGCUGCCUGGAGGAACAAAGGAGGGCCGGGCAAGAACGCCAUUACCAACUGCAAAUCCACAGGCAAAUGCAAGAGGACAGAAAAACACUCUCCUCCCUCGGGAGUGGUUGAGGGGAG